AAAUAAUAAAUUUGAAAAAUUUAAUGUACUCCCCCAACAUCAAUCGUGCAUUUCUCACCCCAAAAAUACCAAAACCUAAUUUUAUACCAAAACUCCCACCCCCACCACACCCCUACCCCCGGCCGACGCCCCAUCCCCACCACACCCCUCCCCGCCGCUGACGCCCCAUCCCCACCACUGCCUGUCCUCCGUCGCCGCCCUUGCUGUCCGCCGCCACUAAAGGUAAUUUCCGUCAUUCCUUCAAGGUGUAGGUGCUACUUCUGAAGGGGCAGUGGAUCCUAAGGAGUACCAAGAAAUGAAGCAGAAAGUUACUCAACUAACAAGUACACUUAGUGCCACGGAGGCAAGGAUGUUGCAUAUGCAGGCCCAACUAGAUAGCUUACUCAAUUCGGGCCCCUCUCAUAUUCCCCCGUGUCCCGGGAUGCUCGCAAGUCACAGUCCAAUAGACGACGUAGGUCACAAGCCAAUGUAGUUCAUGCUCUUGUUGAUGAGGAUAGUGAGGAGGAAUCAGAUCAUGUCUCUAACACCCAACGUUGACUUUUUUGAUUCAUCUACUUUUGGAUUGUAAUAUUGCUAUGUUUUCUUGGAUAUGUAUAUGAUAUUUGAUUAUAGUUUUAAUUCGAAUUAGAUGUACUUUUGAAGGUGAAUUUGAUUGUAGAAAGUAGUUUAUGGUUGUUUAACUUUACGAUGUUUAAGUGUUUGAAUGUAGAAAGUAGUUUAUGGUUGUUUAA